rnacentral:lncRNA from 1 species
ACAUUCAUGUGACCCCAGUGCAUGGCAAAAGUUUAAGGAAAUCACUAAUACUUCUUGCCAAGACCUAUUUACUACCGCUGAGUUCUUCACUUCCUGAGAUCUGAGCUUUGGUUGUUUUGUUGUUCACAGGUUUAAUCUUCAGCUUCUAAGUUCCAAGGGUGGAAAGCAGAGAGUCCCGAGGAAUCAGUCCCAACGCACAGUCUGCUCACCUGUCUCCACUAGUUGCCUGUCCCAGCAAAGGAAAGACAUAACACAACCUGGCAGAAACAUAAAGAGUUCUAGAUAUCUCCUGUCUGAAAUGUAGAAAAUCAAAUGACUCUGUUUGAUUUUCAAAAUGAUCAUAGGAUCAUUUCUAGGAGGAACUCUUGUGAGCAGUGACCCCUCAGCCCAGGCAGGUGGGCUCCUGGAAGGCAAGCCAUAGCUGAGUUUAAGUUUUCCAGAACUUGCAGCCUUGAUCCAUGGAGACCUGCCUAUAUUCUUUGUGUUCUUAUAUCAGUUAGUGUUAGUAUUUAUUGUUUUCCACUAUGUUAAUGCAGGAGAUCCUGCAAGUGUGUUAUUAGAUGUUAAGUAAAAAUCAUACCAUGUUCCUCUGUACAGACAGGAGUGUUACUCAUAUUUUUAUGUGUUACUUUUAAUAAAUAAUGGCUGUACUCAGUACACUAAACAUUACAUCAUGACUGUGGUAUGGCACUGGCAAUGUGUUGUCAUAGUUUUGACUAGUAGGAUUGGUUUUUAGAAUAUGAAUUAGAAUUAGAAUUAGAAUAUGAGAAAAACACCUGUAAAAAGCACAAAAGGACCAGAGGGCUGAAGUAUCAGCCAGCAGUAGAGGGAAAUUGACAUUUCUUUGAUUUUUCUCAUUUGUAAUUCAUACCAUGUGACAAAAUGCCUGGGGGUUUGUGAUACCAAAAAGGCAACUGAAUUAGAUUUCUUUGAUUGAUCCACUGGGCUGACACUAUCUCUGUGGUAUUUUUAUUUAUUUAUUUUUAGAAAAAUCACAAGUGGGGCAAGUAAUCUUUACUAAAACUCCAUCAUCUAGAAAAUCAAAAUCUCAUCAACACUUAGUUGGGAUGUUGUUUUUCAAUGUGUCACAUUCAUAAAAUUCCAUAAAAACAUAGUGUCACCCCCAUCAAGAGAAGACUUUGUUGUUGAAAUCUAAUGAUCAACCUUGACCACUUCCUUGACACAAAAGAUGAAAAUAUCAAUUUAGCUGAAGUUCUGAGGAAAGCUCCAGGAUUAAUAAGCUGCAACCGGUAGCACUUUCAAUGUCUGUGAUUUCUCUAGCUGAACUCAACAAAAAUCUGUCUUACUGAUCUGAGGCUGGGG